GGCCGGUUAGUUCAGUUGGUUAGAGCGUGGUGCUAAUAACGCCAAGGUCAUGGGUUCGAUCCCCAUACGGGCCA
rnacentral:tRNA from 1 species